UACGUAGGGUGCAAGCGUUGUCCGGAAUUAUUGGGCGUAAAGAGCUCGUAGGCGGUUUGUCGCGUCGGCUGUGAAAACCCGGGGCUCAACCCCGGGCCUGCAGCCGAUACGGGCAAACUAGAAUUCGGUAGGGGAGACUGGAAUUCCUGGUGUAGCGGUGAAAUGCGCAGAUAUCAGGAGGAACACCGAUGGCGAAGGCAGGUCUCUGGGCCAUAACUGACGCUGAGAAGCGAAAGCAUGGGGAGCGAACAGG
rnacentral:rRNA from 1 species